UACGUAGGGCGCAAGCGUUAUCCGGAAUUAUUGGGCGUAAAGAGCUUGUAGGCGGUUCGUCGCGUCUGGUGUGAAAGCCCAUCGCUUAACGGUGGGUCUGCGCCGGGUACGGGCGGGCUAGAGUGCAGUAGGGGAGACUGGAAUUCCCGGUGUAACGGUGGAACGUGUAGAUAUCGGGAAGAACACCAAUGGCGAAGGCAGGUCUCUGGGCUGUUACUGACGCUGAGAAGCGAAAGCGUGGGGAGCGAACAGGAUUAGAUACCCUGGUAGUCAAGGGCGAAUUCGUU
rnacentral:rRNA from 1 species